UAGUUUUCCCUCUCAGACAGCUUGAUUGCCGCCUCCUGCCGACGACUUUUCCUUGGACUCUUUCCGACUGACGACUCCUUUCGCCUCUCUCUCUCUCUCUCUCUCUCUCUCUCUCUCCUCCCUUAUUUUCUCCUAACCCUAAAGAAAUUUACCGCAUAAUCGGACAAAGGGUAAAAAGAUCUCCCUCGCAGACCUAAAAAUCCCUCCUUUUUAGCUUCGGCUCACUCGAGUGGACGAGACCGCACGAAGCCGUGGCGGGAAGUUCGAAGUGUUCCCCCCAACGGUCCCCUCUUCGUUGCUUCCAUGGACCGGAUCGAAUCCUCAGAAGUGCAGUUACCGGUGGAGAAUUCUGAGAUCUGGGAUGAAAGGGCAGGUACUUCAGCAUAUAGGUCUUUGUCAUCAAGUAGAAGUUUUAAGGGGAAUGGGAACAUCGAGAAUGACUCGGUUUUUUAUGAAAAGUUUCUCCUUGAUGAUCUGGAUUCUUACUGGGAUGAGAUAAACGACCGGCUCAGCAUUUCAAGAAUGGUGAGUGAGUCGGUCUUCAAGGGUAUAAUAAAUGCUCUGGUUGAAGAAGCUGCUGAGAAAAUUGAUUCAAAGGAAGCAGAAAUAGCUAUCUUGAAUGAGAGGUUGCAGUCUUGUAAGUCUGAUGCAGCUAUAAGCAACAGGUUAGCAUCAUUUGUGAUGUUGCCAAAAUCUUCUAUUGAAAUUGACAAAACAAAAUCAGAGUUGCAUCAGAGCUGUUUAGAUGCAAGUGUAGAUUUGAAUUAUCCAAAGCGUUUAGGCAGAUUAAAGCUUGCAGCAGAAGAACAGCUUCAUAGACUUCAGGAGGAUCUUCAGGAUUUAAGGACCUCGAACUCUCAUGGUAGAAUAACUGUAGGCUCCACGGAUUCAGGAAUGUUUAGUAUAUUUCCUAUGAUAAAGGCUGAGGAAAAAUUGCUUGAAAUAGAUGAACAAAUUGAUGGUCUAAAAAUAAUGCUAGAAUUAGGAUUUGCACAAAUUAAUGACAUAUUCUGGUCGAUGAAGGCUUCAAUGUGGGAACAGCAUUGGGUACAUGAAUUUCAGAGAGAAAUCAGUAAUUUCAUGAUUCAGUAUUAUAUUAAGGGUCUACACGAUGAGUUUGAAACAAAAUUGUAUGAGCAAAGAGGACUGGUUAAUACCUUAAUCAAGAACUCGCAGGAGAAAUUUACAGAGCUAGCUAGCGUGUGUGAAGAACUUGAUGCUAUUUCUAAGUCAUUAUUCAGCUCAGAUAACAGCCAUGAAAGUUUCGAAGAAUGGAGUGUUUCAAAAAGAAAGGAACUCUUUCCUGGAAAAGUGUUAGGAAAUCAUCAUUUUCCAUCUCAUGCUGAGGAAAACGGAACCAUCAUCAUGGAGAAAUCUGGGGACUCUGGCACAUUCAUGAUGGGGGUUGCUGAUUUAUCCCAACUGAAGCACAUGACAAAAGAAGAACUGGUGUCUUUCUUCAAAACUGAAAUGACCAAGUUGAGAAGACAACAUGAAUCAGCUUUGCAAGAGAAAACAGAAGAGUUGUUCAGACUCAAGAGGGAAUUCCUCAAGGAAAAGGGUUCAUCACAUUUUAGAAAAGAUAAGGAGUCUGAACUUUUAAAGAGAAAAAUUCCAGAAGUCAUUUUGAAACUCAAUGGGAUUCUCUUGGAGAAAGAGAAGCUGCCCCCAAUCCGUGAUGAUCAUGACGAAAUAUGUCAUUUGAAGUACAGAAUUGAUUCCUUGUUUUUAGAAAAUCAGGGCCUACAAAGUUUGCUUUUGGAUAAAAAUAGGGAGGUCAAACAUCUAUAUUCACAGGUCUCCGACACAGCGAGCCAAAUGUUGCUUCACUCGUCAGUGGAGGCUAACUUUCUGAAACAAAUUAUGAAAUUCAAAGGGGAUCUGGAAGACGUGAAGAUGGAAACCAACAUUAGAGAUGAAUUUUAUAAUGUUGUUUUAAGGGAGUUGAUUUGUGAGCAUCAAUGCAGGAUGGAGGAUAUAAAGAUUGAGACCAUUUGUCUGCAAGAGAUUUACUCUGUUAUAAUUAAAGGAAUUGCUUGGGAUGUUAUUUCUACCAUAAAUCCUGCUAUAUCAAAAUAUUAUACAGAAAAGGCUUCUCUUGAAACAAGAAUUUUGGAAAAAGACAAGGCAUUAAGAUUAGAAAUUGAAGAGAAACAGAAGUUAAAGCAGACUAUAGCAUCGAUAUCCACAGUGAUGAAGGAAAAGGAAAAAUUAGCAGUAGAUACUGGAUCUACACUGAUGCAGCAGAAGAAGCAGUUUGACCUAGUUCACCAGGAACUUAGUCUGCUCAGAGACCAGGUAUGCAAGCAAGACGUAUUGAUAUCAGAUUUCAAGAAGAAAUCACAUUCAAUGGAGAGUAGAUUGAAUGAGGCUUUGCAACAAAUUCAUCAAUAUGAGUUGGAGACAAACAAACUGAAUGAAAAAUUGAAGAGCGCAGCAGAUGCCUUGGAGAAAGCAGGAAAGCAGAAAGCUGUGCUUCAUGAUAUGGUUGAGGAGAAGCAAAAGUCACUAUCAUUAUCUGACGCUAAGGGCAGAGAGCAAGCAAAGGAGUUGGAAUGCAUUAUUGUUGCUGUGAUGGAGUUAUCAAAAGCAGCUGUAGACUUUGAAAGCAUAUUGGCAGAGAAAAUCAAAAGCACUGAGUCUAGGUUAAAAAUACUGAGUCAUCAGUUCGAGCCACUAGUGAAACAGGCUAUCCUUCUAGAGAAAAAGGAAUCUUGGUUCAAACAAAUGCUUGAAAUCAGAUGUUCUAACUUCCAAAAGGCUGAAGCUGAGGUUGAUCUUCUAGGGGAUGAGGUUGAUGCUCUUCUGGGUCUUCUGGGAAAGAUUUACAUAGCACUUGAUCAUUACUCUCCAGUAUUGCAACAUUAUCCUGGAGUGUUAUUCACAGGCCUACAGGGAAACAAAGCUUAAAGGGAUUUUUCAGAUUUUGAUCGGACUGGAUCUUCUUUCUGUUGGAGCUUCUCCACUAGAUUUUUGUAUUUUUCAUAGAAUGGAACGCUAGUGGCAUGGAAAUUGAAGAACAUGGGAUGGUCGCUAAAUCCACUAGAAGGCUAGCAUUAAAUGAAUUCAUGCAGCUGAGGACAUUGUUGCAGGAGAUAGGCUUUGUGAUCAAUGGUCCCAACAAGAUCUUUUCUCGUUUUCGAGCUGCAGAGCUUCAUGAAUGAACAAAGAACAUUGCGGUAAAUUGUCGUUUAUAGUGAAAGGAUAGCUCCAGGGCGUUCAGCGCAUGAGGCUCCCUCGACUACAGGGAUUGAGGAGAGUCAGAUGUACGCAACCUUACCCCUAUGUGUAGAGAGGUUGUUUCCAUGUUUUGAACCCGAGACAACUAGGUCAAAGUGGAGUAACCUUAUUGUUGCACCAAGACCAACUCUGAGGUGAUGGAAAUUUUAAAAUUGGUUCAAAGAGAAUUAAAAGGAGAAAAUAUUUAGAAUAGUUGAUCUAUUGCCGUGCCAGUUUAGACAGAUCCUAUGGAUUUUCCAGCAAGCAUAGGAUGCAGUUUCUACAUUUCCUAGUGGGCAUCUGUCAAGAGCCAUAUUAUUUGUGUUAAUAUCUCAAGGAAGCAGUCAUUACCAUGUCAAGGAAUCAGAACUGGCAAUGACCAAGCUAAGCUAUUCUCGGUGCAAUGGUAGCUGUAUGCUCAGGUAGAUGCUUGAAGUCGCUUGUGAGUGCUUUUUGGUGUUGGCUUCACAAUCAUUUGCUGACCAACUGCAAUUAAAAGUUUGGAGAAAAUAAAAGGAAGCUGUCGAUUUCUUUCCAUCUUACGUAGAAUCAUGGAUGUCAUACAAUGCAAGCUCAAUUGUAUAUGAUGUAAAUGCUGGUAUGUAUUUUCUCUUUUCAGGAAAUUAUUUGUUUAUUUACACGAAUAGCUUGUGGAAAUUGCUUGUAAUCCAUUUGAGGGCUUCAUGCAUAUGGAAGCAAUAUUCAGAAACAGUCAUUGGCCGAUCACUAUCUUGUAUCAUCCUCUCAUUUAGCAAUUGAGAAGAUCUAGUUGAUGCAAGACCCUUUUCACAUAUUACAAUAUAAAUUUAAUUUUAGUCUACA